UUUUGUAAGGUAUUUUAUAUACUAAAUUAAUACGAAAUAUUUUAAAUAGAUAUAUUCAAAAACAUUGUGGGUAGGUAGGUACUUGAGUUUUUUUUUUAAAUAUCUAAUUGGUGAUUAACAACUAAGUAAAUAACUUCUUUUUUACUAAGCACAUAUGAUUAAUAGGUAUAUUCAUAAUACAAAAUAUACAAUUGUUUAUGUGGCAUCACCAUACAAGUGCAUGCCUGUGAGUAGCGGAGCUACAAUAGGAGGUGAUAUUUUUAACUAUAAUAUUUUAAUAGAACACCAACUUAAAAUUUGUUAUGACAUAAAAACAAAAUUAAUACAGACUAUUUUAAUUUUGAAUAAAAUUUGAAUGAUACUUGUACAUAAUAUAUUAUGAGUAUACAUUAAGUAUACAAUCAAAAGAAAAAAUUAUAAUUAUGUUGACUAUUAAAAACAAAUUUGAUGGUUUCUAAUCUUUGCAGCACUAAAUAUCCAAAAUACUUGGGUACCUAUGAGUAUUACAGUUAUUAAUCAUUUUUUCAGAUAUAAAUUAAUUUUAAAAUUAGACAAAAGAGUUUAAAUUUUUUCAUACUUAAUUUAUAAUACAAAUAGUCUAUGUAAAGCAAUAAAACAACCUAACACCGUAGUAAAAUAAUACUAUAUACCAAAACUACCUAUACUACUUCCGAAAAAAAAAAUAGAGCUGUUGAAAGUUUAAACUACCAAGACUCAUCCUAAAUACUAAUGCAAUACAUAAACAAAAUUUAACCUGUAGUUCUUUAUUUACACACUUGCAGCCUGCAAGUGUGUAAAAGGCUAAAAAAAAACACCCUCCUGUCGCAACAUGUUACCAUUCAUAUUGAAAUUUAACCUAACAUUCAUUAUUUUAAUCUGUCUAUAUAAUAACUCUAAUUCUAGAAUUUGAGGUCAUAG